rnacentral:misc_RNA from 1 species
GCUAAUGUGAAGUGCCAAUUCUUGUCACAGAUGAUAGUUAAUGUUUAAUAUCCAAACCUGUCAACUGAGUUUCUUCGGAAAAUGCAUUCUGCAAUCUGUGAUUUGACCAUUUCCUUCUUUAUUUACUUUAACUUUUGUUACUUGGAAUAUAUUUAUUCUGUUGUUGUUCAAGUAAUUAGUUUUUGUGAGUCACUCGCUUUUACAUAUUCCAUAUUCUCCAUUGUUGAACUUUCUUAGGAUUAGGAACUCAAGUUGUACAGUUAUCUGUAGAUUCACUGUCUUAGGAUUAGGUUUUCUACAUCACUUACCAGUUUUUGAAUUAGGUUUUUUACAUCACUUUUGAGUUUGCUUAGAUUUAGCAUUCAGAAUAUGAACUAUGAUUAUUUGGUUUUAUCAUGCAAUUUUGUUUCUCUAAUUGUAAUUUCAAUCAAGGGAAUUUACAAUGAACAUGGAAGUAAAUGAAGGUUGAAGAGGAUAGGUAAAUCACUAUUUUGUCAAGUUGAAUGACAACAUUUUAAAAGAGGGAGGAUGUAAUACACAUGGAGGACUAAUACGCACCUAUGUUUGUUUCUUUCCUUUUUGGGUGGAAAUCAUUAACUACUUUUACAUUCUUGAUUGACAGUUAAAUCUACAAAAAUAGACAAAAUGACAAAAUGUAUAAUGUAACCAAAAUU